rnacentral:lncRNA from 1 species
UUUCAUCAUCAUCCAAUGGCUUUAAACUAACCACCCCCUCCCAUCAAAGUGCUCGAACAGACCCCCUAAGCCCUAGAGACAUACCAUUCCCCUAUCUUCAUAAUCUCUCUCAAACCCCAAAAACCCCAAGUCCCCUGCCAACGGCCACGCUCCCAAAUCACCCCAAAUCGUCACCGUAUAAUCCCCUUUUCCUUCUCAUCCAUAAUCCCCACAACAUUUCCUUCAAAAAUCCUUAUAACUUUGUGGAUUUUAGACCUAAGAAGUCACAAAAAACCUAAAUCCACCCCCAUUCCAUGUUUUCCCAAAUUUCGGCCUACCCGAGGUUCAUAAUAAUGCUAAUUGAACAAUCUCAUUGGGACUUAUCAAUUAGAGUCAGUCUGGACAUAUUCUAGACCACCCGAACCCGGCCACCACUAUGGAAGCCUCAUAACAUUGCCUUUUUUUGCCGGUAUAUGGAGUACAUAGUCAUGUAAAGCAUUGACUAUGCCUUGAAUGUGGGAUAAUGCUCAUGUAGCGAUGUCGGCUGUUAGCCGGUUAUACGAUUUUUUCGGGCAGUCCUGCUUUCCAUUGGUAAUCUUCUUUUCAUUUCUUUACUUAACUUCCCGAUUGACUAAUUGAUUGACGUUUUGUGUUUUGACUAAUUGAAUUACAUAGAUUAUUUUUAGUUAACAACAUUUUUUUAGUUUAGGUUUAAAUUAUACCUAGUCGGCUUUGCUAAAUAAUCAGUUGAUAGUUGUCUGUUAAUGUUGCGUAAAUAGUUGAUUGUUAGUGUGUUUCUCCAUAUGUUUAGCACAUUUUAGAUUUAUUAGGAUUUAAAACUCAUUAAUCGCGUGGUAGGUUAUUAGUUCAGAUACUUAAUAAUAAUUUUAAUUGCAAGUUUGCAGGCCAAUUGAUCUUGAUUCGUUAAGUAUAGAUAUUAAUUAGGUGAAUCACCUAGAAAUGGGUUGGAUUUCGACUCCUCUUUGUUGUUGUGAUUGUCAAUCCUUUUUAAAUUCUUGUAUUAGUUGAUUGUGAUUACUAAAAGUGUAAGGAGGUUAAACAAAAUAGGAAACUUGGAAGAAUCUGUCUCUAAUUAAUUUAGAUGCUCCUAGAAGAUAGAAAGGGAAUGAUUUGUAAAAAAAAAGGAAGAACAUGGCAGGUUUUAGGACUUAAGAGGUAAAAACAAAAGUUAAGGGGGCUACAAAAUAAUAAAAGGAUAGCUAAAGUACAGAUGUACAAAAAUCUAUUGAAAAGAUACCCUUUUCCUUAUUUUUAGGGAAUGAACAUUCCUCAGAUUAUUCCCUCAUCAUUGGCAUAUAAUAGAUCUUAUUUUCUAUAUAUAGACCCCUGCAUUUUCACUCUCUCAAACACACAUACACACAUUAAUUCUCCAUAGAAACUUGACACACAUUCCCCAUUUCUCACUGAUUUCUCUCAAAGAAAACACUCUAUAAAUUCCACUUUUAUACAAAAAAAAAAAACAAAAAAAAUGGGGAGGAACACAAAAGUUGUUUUAAGAUUCUAGCAUACUUGGUUGAUAUUUUCUGGAAUUUUAAAGGAUUUUAAAGCUUUAUAACUGCUGUUUGCUGUCAUGCAAGUUGAAUUUCAUCAUCUUUCUACUCAAAACCUUUAUUUGGUUUUUCACUUUGGUUUUCGGUUCCCUGUACUGUGCAAAUGAAGUUUGGCUUUGUUUGAUUUCAUAAUUGUAUUUAAUUCUUGGAUGUUUAUGCUUGUUUUUCAAAUAAGCUUAUAUUUUACUGUAUUUGGCAUCAGUUCAUGUUUAUUCAAGCGAUGGUUUGGACUAUAAAUACUUCUAGGCUAGCUUCGCUAUUACUGAUAUUCCCUAGUUCUAAUAGAGCAUGCUGGCUAUCUGGCACCCCAUAUAUUACUAUUGUUCUAUCUUUGCCACGGAUAAUUGAAAAACAUGUUGUACAUACAUGGAAAGCCUAUGAGAGGUUGGAUGUGAGUUGCUGUGAUAUGUGAUGAAGAACUGGUAGAAAACAAUGGAGAUCUGAUAGCAGAUUACAUAUUUUAGUUUUAAUUCAUUUUUUCAGACUUGUGAUUUUCAUGUUGUUAAGAUUAUUAUUGUGUUGUUGAGAACAACUCGUUUAAUGUAGUUAAUUUGAAUUUAUGCUUAAACUUUGAUACUUAGGAUUUAAUGUUGGGAUUCAUCCUAUUAUCUACAUUCAUUUGUUCUUAUACAUGUUUCAUCCAUGAUUUGAAUGUCUGUACCUGUUCAGCUAUGAAUUAAAUCAUGUUUGGAUGGUCCUUUGAGUUCACUAAGUCUUCACUCUUUUGAACUUUAGGCUCGACCUUGACCACUAUAGGCCCAAGAAAGGUCAGCUUGAAUGAUCUUUUGGGCCUACGAGGAUGACGACCCAACACCCCAAGGUCCAAGGGACCUCCUCGCUUAAAUAAGGGAUCUGACUUUCUAAAGGUCAUGUUUUGGGCUUUAGUUUGAGCUCAUUGCCUUCACAUGUGAUCCAUUGGAGUUCUGAUUUGGUCAUUUAGUUAAUAUUUUCAUGACCCAAACCGAUGGGCCUCAACGGGCACCUGGUACCUUACUCAACCGUGUACCAAUGUAACG